rnacentral:lncRNA from 1 species
UUGUUUUUUUUUUUUUUUUUUUUUUUUUAACUAAAAUGUUAUACUUGCUUAUCUGGAAGACUGGUUCUGAAUUUACCAUUAAGAAGUUAUAUGCUGUGUGACUCACUGCAGUUAUUCUAACAUAUUGUCUACAGUGAAAACAUUAAGAUUGUCAAUGAAACUUAUGUCUUGGUCCAACCCCUUUUAAAAAAUAUGAAAAACUGUGUUAUGUGAUUAUAACCCCACCCCCCAUGUAUUCUAAAAAAGCAUUAAUAAUCUGGCAAAUCCACUGGCAAUCUGAUAUAAAGUUUAGAGAUACAAUUACUCCCUUAAUUAGUAGUCAAGAUAAAACCCUCCAUAAGUAAUCUAUAUUAAUGGUUAGUUUUUAGUGGUCAUUUGUCUCCUUUAGGAAUGUGAUGCUUUCCUAUGAAAAGUAUUCAAGCUCAAAAUUUACAUCAUUGGGUACCAGCUGACAAGUGCUGAUGGCAUCAGUACUUUCAAAGGGAAUCUAACAUAGAAAACACCUGGAGCCAUCAGUACUUGAUCCUUCAAGCUCAUGCGCUUAUUUCAACAAAACACAUUUGAUUUUGUUUCAUUUUCCUUGUCUUUAUUAUGCGAAUAUAUAUUUGGAAAUUUGUAAUUAAAUACACUCCAUAUUCAUUAUUUACUGGAGAAUGGAUGGUACCUGCCAUUUUUUUUACUUUGACUCAUUUUCUGAUAUGCCUUUUUGUUUUGUAAAGCAUAUGUUAUUCUAAUUUGCCUGUGACUACUGUGGGAUGCCAUUCAAAAUAUGUGAGCAAUCUUAUAAUGACGAGAAAUAGUAGAAAUGAUUUUGGAAAAUUAGCAUCAAAAUUUUACUCCUAAAUUUCCUAUGUAUAUUAAAUGCUCUGUGUUUUACACUCUAGCCCAAUAUCUCCCUUGCUAUGGGUUAAAAACUAAAUAUUUGUAAAUUUAUCACACCUCCAAUGAUUUACAUCAUUUCUAAGUAGCAAUAGCAAAGUUGUCUAGAGGAGGAAGAGUGUUGUAUAUAGGACUUCACAAGUUAACCUGUAUUGAUCAUAUUAAUAAAUCAGACCUACUAAAAAAGAGAACAGAAGAGCCAAGCAGACUUCAAGAGAGUGCCCAUUGGCUUCUGGAUUGAAUGACAGCUACAAUUUGAGUGAGGCCUCGGGUGCCCAUGGCUAAGGCUAUCGGUAACCAGAUCUCUACCAGAAUAUGUCUGAUGGAUGCCACAGUCAUGCACACCAAUCCUGCAGUAUGGUGCUAUAGGGAGCACUGACUUCGUAAGUCUGUGUGUUGGGGCAGAGGGAAUAGCGGUCCCUUUGAUUCCAGCCCCAUAAACCAGAAAAUACUGCACUGAAACAAGGGCUGUGAAACAUUCCUCAAAUAAGUAUACAGCCAACCUAGGAACGCAGUAGGAGGGGUGGGAUUUUUAUUUGAUCUUUUGGUAUCUGGGAGACAUUUUAUAUAUAAAGAAUAAAAAAGUAUUAUUAUUCAAAUGUA